rnacentral:rRNA from 1 species
GACGAACGCUGGCGGCGUGCUUAACACAUGCAAGUCGAACGGUUAACGAGGGAGCUUGCUCCAUCCGGCUCAGUGGCGAACGGGUGAGUAACACGUGAGCAAUCUGCACUGGACUCUGGGAUCAGCGUUGGAAACGACGUCUACUCCCGGAUACGAGACGCGAAGGCAUCUCCAGCGUCUGGAAAGAACUUAGGUCUAAGAUGAGCACGCGGCCUAUCAGGUAGUCGGUGAGGUAAGGGCUCACCAAGCCUACGACGGGUAGCCGUGCCUGAGAGGUUGACCGGCCACACUGGGACUGAGAAACGGCCCAGACCCCUACGGGAGGCAGCAGUGGGGAAUAUUGCACAAUGGGCGCAAGCCUGAUGCAGCAACGCCGCGUGAGGGACGACGGCCUUCGGGUUGUAAACCUCUUUUAGCAGGGAAGAAGCGAAAGUGACGGUACCUGCAGAAAAAGCACCGGCUAACUACGUGCCAGCAGCCGCGGUAACAC